rnacentral:lncRNA from 1 species
UGGAUUGUUCCCUUUACAAGGAUGUAGUGACCUUCAUUGUCUCUCUUAAUCAGUUUUGGUUUGAAAUUUACUUUGUCUGUGAAUAAUAUAGCUACCCCUGCGUUUUUCUGGGCUCCUGUCACAUGGAGAACUGUUUUCCAUCCUUUCACUUUCAGUCUAUGAGUUUCUUUUUGAACUAGGCGUGUUUCUUGUAUACAACAUAUUGCUGGAUUUUGCUUCUUAAUCCAUUCUGCCAGUCUAUUUCUUUUGAUAGGUGAAUUGAGGCCAUUGAUAUCGAUGGUCAUAACUCAUGUAUUGACUUAUCAUUGUCAUGUUAUUGUCCUAUUCUUGGCUCUUUUUAAUUUCCCCCCGCUCUUCAGUUAAGAAACUAAAUUGCCUCAUUGAUUUGUUCUGUUGGGACUCAUGGUGUUGUGACUUUCAUUGUCUUUUUCUAGGAUAUUGUUUAGAAUUGUUUGUAGUGCUGGUUUGGUAUUCAUGAAGUUCCUAAGAUUCUGGAGGUGGAAGAGGAGGAACCACAAGCUCCCCACACUGCUAGGAGCCACUACUGGAGCUCAAUUCUGGUUUGAUGAUGGCAUGCAGUGAGCAGCCAGGUGUCUUUCUGAAGAAUAAUUUUUGGGAGGAUUAGGAGAAAACGCUUGCUCCAGUUCCUGAUAAUUGAUCUGCAAGGUUUCAAUUUAAGUCGCAAAUUGCUCCCAUUACCCAGGCCACAGUGUUCUCCUCUAUGAAGCAUGCAGUUUGGAGAGAGCAUCUCAAGUGUCUGAGCACUUUUCGGCACUGACACUCUUAAGGUCCAAAUGCUCCAGGUCCAACUUGGUUGGAGCAGCAGCCUCAGCAUCAGGCUGGUUUGAGCUUGGUGCCCACCUCAGCCACUGCGGAGCCAAAUGGCUUUUUACCAUCAAUUUCAUACUCACAGCAGCUCAGCUUCACCAAUGGUAAAACUCAGACAAAAACAAAAAGCAGCUGACAUCUCAGAGUUUUGCUACCACUCUUAUGAGGAUGGGAGGAGAGGCUCCACACAGAGCCCAGCUCGGGGAGUUAGGGAGAAAGGGGAGUCAAUCACUUCAGCCAUCUAGGACCCAGAUUCCACGCUGGUGCCAAGAAGAGCAGCUGCCAGCAAACAGGAAAGGGGAAGGUGAGCUUGGGCAGGUAUGGUUAAACAAUGAUGGGAGGAACUUGCUUUAUAACUUUACCUGAGCAGCUCCCCUCCUGUUACAAUGAUUGUUAUCUGAUACUACUCAUUUGCAGUCUACCAGGCAGGGAAGAGAAAGAGUUACACAGGCUCCAGACACAAAUGCAUGAACACAUGUGUGCACAACACACACACACACACACA